AGAUUGAACGCUGGCGGCAUGCUUUACACAUGCAAGUCGAACGGUAACAGGCCGCAAGGUGCUGACGAGUGGCGAACGGGUGAGUAAUGCAUCGGAACGUGCCCAGUCGUGGGGGAUAACGCAGCGAAAGCUGUGCUAAUACCGCAUACGAUCUAUGGAUGAAAGCGGGGGACCGAAGGCCUCGCGCGAUUGGAGCGGCCGAUGUCAGAUUAGCUAGUUGGUGGGGUAAAGGCCCACCAAGGCGACGAUCUGUAGCUGGUCUGAGAGGACGACCAGCCACACUGGAACUGAGACACGGUCCAGACUCCGUACGGGAGCAGCA
rnacentral:rRNA from 1 species